rnacentral:tRNA from 1 species
UCCUCCGUAGCAUAAUGGCAGUGCAGCAGACUGUUAAUCUGUACAGUCCUGGUUCGAGUCCAGGCGGGGGAGCCA